AUGCACAGUGUUUCCCAAAAGCCCUGUAUCCUUGGGAGCAACCAAGAUGUAAUCGGUCAGAGAAAUGGUUUCUUCCUGGAUCCAUGUGAGUUAAACUGUUGUGGGACUGGAGACACUCGCGCCUGCAGAGUUGUGGUGACAAGCAAGCCCUCCUCUUUGCUCCCUGUCUGAAGUCUGCAUAUUCCAUGAAUCCUUGAGGGAGCCUGAUUCUUAUAAGGCAGGGGUCACUAAAGGAACCACAACAGUGUCUCCCUUGGAGAAAAGGAAAGGAAAUCACCACCGUUUAAGAACGCCACAGAAUUCAUUCCCUUCAGAUACUGUCCGUGUGUGAGUUACACGUGCCAACUGCCAGGUAUUAGUUGUUUUUCCAGGCCCCAUUAAGGACUCUUCAUCCUGUCCAGCAAGAGGCAUUAAAGCUUUCACGAGUUAAAGUUGUUCCCAGCUCGGUGUUAUUCAAAGGCAAUUUACACUAAUUAUUCGAGUCCACAGCGUUACCCAUAUUAGCAGAACGAACCAUCUCAGCAGGAAGCUUCAAUAGCGACCCCUCCUGGCGACCCAAGCAGCUUACAUGGCGCUCUACAAGCAUUCUUAUACAGUUGUAUACGCUCAUGCUCUGCCCUCCAGCCGCUCAAACGAUGAAGGUUAUCAAGGUGAAAAACAUCUAUUGAGAUGGAUGGAGAGGAGAGUGGGGCCCACCAGGAAGUGAGGUCGCAACUGACCAAACAAGCACGGUAAAAUAUUCACAAAGAUAAAUUAAAAAAAAAAAUCACAAAGCAUGGGGAAAGAGAACCGAAGGUUGAAAAAUAGCAAAUGUAAAAAGACCCCACGGCACACAAUAACAUCACACAUUCUGGGACCUGGAAAUUAAGUGGAAUAUCCCAGCAGUCCACAGCUGUCCACCCUGACAAGAUAAUAAAGGGGAGGGAGGCUAGAGAUAACACAGAGACUUAUCUCCAUUCAUAUGUCCUGGAAAUAUCGUGGACCCUGCAUUUUUGAGGCCUCCAAACUCUUUGAUCACCUAUCCGCACACACCCCUCACAAAGGUUUGAUCAUCACCUUCCUAUCUAGCUAUUAUGUGUUCCUCUGUUUCAAGCUAUGUAGUGCUACCCAGUAUUACUUGCUGUGCUCCCCAAAUGUUGGUUCUAAUAUUUCUCCCAUGCCAACGGAAUGUUGACCAUGUCAAAUGCCACCAAGUUGAUGGGGUCCAAGGACAUCCCCGUAUACCAUUACUGUCCAUCUCUGCAAGACUUAUAUUCCUCCAUCUCCUCUUGCCACCAGAGGCCUGACCACUCUCUAAGGGUCCUGACCCAGUCAGAACAAAACCAAAUGAGGUCCAAAGCAAUUCCAGCCAGCGGGACAGCCUGUCCUGUAUGUCCUCUGCCCACAGGGAACCUGGGUCUGUAUCCCAGAAUAUCUCUUCCCGUCUCUUUUGAGUUGAAUGCAUUUGUGAACCACUGCCAAGAUCCCCAAGAGUAUCCAUAAAUUCUAGAACCUAGAAUAUAGCUAGAUAUACAACAAGUCCCUAUGGGUUAACAUGUAGGUCAAUUAACAUAUGAUAUAACCAAAAUGAAUUCUGGUAGAAAUAAAAAUGUGAAAGUUAAAAUAAAGUCAGAAUCUAAUUAG
rnacentral:lncRNA from 1 species